AUUGAACGCUGGCGGCAGGCCUAACACAUGCAAGUCGAGCGGAGGAAGGGAGCUUGCUCCUUGAUUCAGCGGCGGACGGGUGAGUAAUGCCUAGGAAUUUGCCUGGUAGUGGGGGAUAACUUCCGGAGACGGGCGCUAAUACCGCAUACGUCCUGAAGGAGAAAGUGGGGGAUCUUCGGACCUCACGCUAUUAGAUGAGCCUAGGUCGGAUUAGCUAGUUGGUGGGGUAAAGGCCUACCAAGGCGACGAUCCGUAACUGGUCUGAGAGGAUGAUCAGUCACACUGGAACUGAGACACGGUCCAGACUCCUACGGGAGGCAGCAGUGGGGAAUAUUGGACCAUGGGCGCAAGCCUGAUCCAGCCAUGCCGCGUGUGUGAAGAAGGUCUUCGGAUUGUAAAACACUUUAAGUUGGGAGGAAAGGAAGUAAGUUAAUACCUUGCUGUUUUGACGGUACCAACAGAAUAAGCACCGGCUAACUUCGUG
rnacentral:rRNA from 1 species